rnacentral:rRNA from 1 species
UACCAGCACCCCGAGUGGUCGGGACGAUUAUUGGGCCUAAAGCCUCCGUAGCCGGUUCUACAAGUCUUCCGUUAAAUCCACCUGCUUAACAGAUGGGCUGCGGAGGAUACUAUAGAGCUAGGAGGCAGGAGAGGCAAGCGGUACUCAGUGGGUAGGGGUAAAAUCCGUUGAUCCAUUGAAGACCACCAGUGGCGAAGGCGGCUUGCCAGAAUGCGCUCGACGGUGAGGGAUGAAAGCUGGGGGAGCAAACCGG